rnacentral:rRNA from 1 species
GACGAACGCUGGCGGCGUGCUUAACACAUGCAAGUCGAACGGAAAGGCCCUGCGUUUGUGGGGUGCUCGAGAGGCGAACGGGUGAGUAACACGUGAGUAACCUGCCCUUGACUUAGGGAUAACUUCAGGAAACUGGGGCUAAUACCGGAUAGGAGCUACUGCUGCAUGGUGGGGGUUGGAAAGAUUCGGCGGUGGGGGAUGGACUAGCGGCUUAUCAGCUUGUUGGUGGGGUAGUGGCUUACCAAGGCUUUGACGGGUAGCCGGCCUGAGAGGGUGACCGGCCACAUUGGGACUGCGAGACGGCCCAGACUCCUACGGGAGGCAGCAGUCGGGAAUAUUGCACAAUGGGCGGACGCCUGAUGCAGCAACGCCGCGUGCGGGAUGACGGCCUUCUGGUUGUAAACCGCUUUCGCCUGUGACGAAGCGUUAUUGACGGUAAUUGGUAAAGAAGCACCGGCUAACUACGUG